CAGCAUUAAAGCCCCGUGGCCUGCACUGUUCUGGGAGCUCCUUCUGCAGGUCCGCGGCCAGGAAGUCCUGGCGACAUUAGCACUUCGGCUGAAAUCCGCCUUCCAGGAAGCGGCUCUGACCACCCCGCCAGAGGGACGGCCAGCCUUGCUGGGUCCCAGUGCACCGUCUACCACGGAGCUGCGGUCGCCGCACUGUGUGCUGACCGACCAACCAGAGUGGGUCACCGUGGCCCACCACACUAGCAAGGUGGAGACAGCAAAAGUGUGCGUCUAGUGUGGAGGGCUACAAACUACACUUUUCUGGCCCCCAGGGCAACAGUUUCCUGGACAUGUGGAAAGAUGGAUGUGUGGAUGGAGAGGUGACACACGCGCGGACGGAGAGGUGGACGUGUAGAUGGAGAGGUGGACAUGCCGGUGGAGAGGUGGAGAUGAGGUCCAGAGAGCCUGGGACA
rnacentral:lncRNA from 1 species